ACACAGUAAAUUUAGUACACGGAAUUUGUGAGUGAGGACAAAGAGUGGGGAGUGAAAUAAUUCAUAGAUGACAACACCAGUGAGACAUCACCACACGCUGGAUUUGGACAAAGUCAAUUAGGUACAUUCAAAAGGCACAGGAAGCAGCUGACACCACCUUGGAGAACAUCAGUGACUGUGGAAGCAAUACGUGGGCUUGAAGGGCCUGCCAUGCCAGCAAUGAUUACACCUACCAGCCAGCUCCUGUUUCCUAAACGUGACUCCCACGAACAGAACAAAGUGUCCUUAAAGGAAUGGCUGAUAUCAAACUGGGAUAAGGAAAGUACAAGAUGAACUUAGAAUCUAUUUUUGUGCCAGAAGAAAACACUGCCCAAAGAAUGUCAAAGGACACGUCAAAAGGAUAUAUAAGUAAGCUUGAAGGUGUUAUUACUGGGCAGACUUGGAAGAAUUUGAGAGUCAAAAUAAACAGUGGUAAGCAGAUAAUGUCAUUGCACAAAAUAAUGAUCUAAGUGUCCCUACAGACUAAAUAAUGAGUGAAGAAACUAGGGAAGAGGUAAAUCUCUUCCCCAAAACAAAAACUAAUACUGAUGAUGCACUUUGAAAAUCAUCACUUGGUAUCCACUGCAAUAAUUAAUCCAGGUAAGAACCAUUGACAGGGGCUCACAGUAGGAUGCACAGUGGCUGAAAACAGGCUUUUGUAUUCUCUCAAAAUCUCUCCCCGCACAGUACUGGGUAAUUACAUGAUGUGGACUGACUUUUCACUAGAGGACCUAGUAAAGGUGACCUCAGCAACAACAGGAAAACUUCAUCCUGCGGCCCCUGAGACGAUGUCGAUGAUAACACACAGCACCGAGCUUCUCUGAUGUUCCAGCCAAAGGUGAGCAGCCUGGACAUCCUCAUGUGGAAACACCAAGCAGAAACUGAGAGAGCUAUAAAAACAACUGGGUUUUAAUCUUCAAAAAUAUUAAGGUCGUGAGAGUUGGAGAAAUUGUUGCACGUUGUAGGAAACAGUUCUCCAGAUUUAGUAGAUACUCAGUGACUCCAUAACCAAUGUAUCUUCCUUUAUCUAAUAGCUCCCCUAUAAAAGGAUAUUGGUCCAACACUCAUGGAAUGUUGACCUCUAAAGAAGAGAUAUAUUUUAAUACAUAUAUACACAGAAUUGGAUGAUGGUUACACAUACUUCAUAAGCUUUCACCUGACUAGACCAACACCUGAUUCAUUGAUGAGCAGCACUCAUCACCUAGGCUUGUGUUUAAGGGACAUGAAAGACUCUCGUAUACCAUUUCUGCUUACUUUUCAGAUUUAGUAGCAAGAAAGUGGAGGGCAAGAAAAGGUGAUUCUGGUGCUGUGUCCACCUCGAAUCACUGACCUCAUUGGCCUCCCUAUCACAGCCUCUGUAGCUCUAGUGCAGUCCACCAACACAUCACGCACAUGGUACUGAGUAGUUCAGGAA